UACGUAGGGGGCAAGCGUUGUUCGGAAUUACUGGCGUAAAGCGCACGUAGGUGGUCUGUUAUGUCAGAUGUGAAAGCCCUCGGCUUAACUGAGGAAGUGCACCUGAAACUGGCAGGCUUGAGUACGAAAGAGGGUCGCGGAAUUCCCGGUGUAGAGGUGAAAUUCGUAGAUAUUCGCAAGAACACCAGUGGCGAAGGCGGCUCACUGGCCCGAAACUGACGCUGAGGCACGAAAGCGUGGGGAGCAAACAGG
rnacentral:rRNA from 1 species